AGGCAGCAGUAGGGAAUCUUCCGCAAUGGACGAAAGUCUGACGGAGCAACGCCGCGUGAGCGAUGAAGGCCUUCGGGUCGUAAAGCUCUGUUGUCAGGGAAGAACAAGUAYCGGAGUAACUGCCGGUACCUUGACGGUACCUGACCAGAAAGCCACGGCUAACUACGUGCCAGCAGCCGCGGUAAUACGUAGGUGGCAAGCGUUGUCCGGAAUUAUUGGGCGUAAAGCGCGCGCAGGCGGUUCCUUAAGUCUGAUGUGAAAGCCCCCGGCUCAACCGGGGAGGGUCAUUGGAAACUGGGGAACUUGAGUGCAGAAGAGGAGAGCGGAAUUCCACGUGUAGCGGUGAAAUGCGUAGAGAUGUGGAGGAACACCAGUGGCGAAGGCGGCUCUCUGGUCUGUAACUGACGCUGAGGCGCGAAAGCGUGGGGAGCGAACAGGAUUAGAUACCCUGGUAGUCCACGCCGUAAACGAUGAGUGCUAAGUGUUAGAGGGUUUCCGCCCUUUAGUGCUGCAGCAAACGCAUUAAGCACUCCGCCUGGGGAGUACGGCCGCAAGGCUGAAACUCAAAGGGAA
rnacentral:rRNA from 1 species